rnacentral:rRNA from 1 species
CUCAGGAUGAACGCUAGCUACAGGCUUAACACAUGCAAGUCGAGGGGCAUCAGGAAGAAAGCUUGCUUUCUUUGCUGGCGACCGGCGCACGGGUGAGUAACACGUAUCCAACCUGCCCUUUACUCGGGGAUAGCCUUUCGAAAGAAAGAUUAAUACCCGAUGGCAUAAUGAUUCCGCAUGGUUUCAUUAUUAAAGGAUUCCGGUAAAGGAUGGGGAUGCGCUCCAUUAGGUUGUUGGUGAGGUAACGGCUCACCAAGCCUUCGAUGGAUAGGGGUUCUGAGAGGAAGGUCCCCCACAUUGGAACUGAGACACGGUCCAAACUCCUACGGGAGGCAGCAGUGAGGAAUAUUGGUCAACGGGCGCUAGCCUGAACCAGCCAAGUAGCGUGAAGGAUGAAGGCUCUAUGGGUCGUAAACUUCUUUUAUAUAAGAAUAAAGUGCAGUAUGUAUACUGUUUUGUAUGUAUUAUAUGAAUAAGGAUCGGCUAACUCCGUGCCAGCAGCCGCGGUAAUACGGAGGAUCCGAGCGUUAUCCGGAUUUAUUGGGUUUAAAGGGAGCGUAGGUGGACUGGUAAGUCAGUUGUGAAAGUUUGCGGCUCAACCGUAAAAUUGCAGUUGAUACUGUCAGCCUUGAGAACAGUAGAGGUGGCCGGAAUUCGUGGUGUAGCGGGGAAAUGCUUAGAUAUCACGAAGAACUCCGAUUGCGAAGGCAGCUCACUGGACUGCAACUGACACUGAUGCUCGAAAGUGUGGGUAUCAAACAGGAUUAGAUACCCUGGUAGUCCACACAGUAAACGAUGAAUACUCGCUGUUUGCGAUAUACAGUAAGCGGCCAAGCGAAAGCAUUAAGUAUUCCACCUGGGGAGUACGCCGGCAACGGUGAAACUCAAAGGAAUUGACGGGGGCCCGCACAAGCGGAGGAACAUGUGGUUUAAUUCGAUGAUACGCGAGGAACCUUACCCGGGCUUAAAUUGCAGUGGAAUGAUGUGGAAACAUGUCAGUGAGCAAUCACCGCUGUGAAGGUGCUGCAUGGUUGUCGUCAGCUCGUGCCGUGAGGUGUCGGCUUAAGUGCCAUAACGAGCGCAACCCUUAUCUUUAGUUACUAACAGGUUAUGCUGAGGACUCUAGAGAGACUGCCGUCGUAAGAUGUGAGGAAGGUGGGGAUGACGUCAAAUCAGCACGGCCCUUACGUCCGGGGCUACACACGUGUUACAAUGGGGGGUACAGAAGGCAGCUAGCGGGUGACCGUAUGCUAAUCCCAAAAGCCUCUCUCAGUUCGGAUCGAAGUCUGCAACCCGACUUCGUGAAGCUGGAUUCGCUAGUAAUCGCGCAUCAGCCACGGCGCGGUGAAUACGUUCCCGGGCCUUGUACACACCGCCCGUCAAGCCAUGGGAGCCGGGGGUACAUGAAGUACGUAACCGCAAGGAUCGUCCUAGGGUAAAACUGG